CGUAAGGGAGCGUAAUUACUUCCCUAAUUUGGGAGUUUAGAGCGAUUAAAAAGGCCAAUUAAUGUGAUCAAUAAUUUACUGAUUUCAUUUAUCAAUCUCCUGCUCAUGCGAUCUCACGCUUCACUGGAUGUUCAAGUUUCUAAAUAACAAAACCUGCCUGCAUUCUAAAACGAAAUCAACAUGUAUAUUGAACUUUUAUUUUCAAUUCUAGCAUUUAGUUGUCUUAGGAUGCAUUCGUUGUUACUAAAGACUUACGCUCAGUAUAGCGAUAUUUGGCAAUUCAAACAGGAUUGGUGUAGACAGAGAAAGGCUGCUUUUGAUUGGCAAGCGAUCCUGGAGCCUUGCAAGAACGAUUUGGAAUACAAUAAAAAACCAAAAUCGUUAAUUUCAACAGAAGGAACAUCUCCUAACAACAGCUUAGUUUUCGUCAGAGUGGCACCAGCCGGCCAGUUUACCCAUAUAUGGAUAGAAUCACGAGACAAAUUAGGCAACCCCAAGAAAUAUGGUGGGGACUCGUGGCGGGUAAUGAUCAGAAGUGAGGGGGCAACCCUGGCAGCUGAUGUGUUUGAUCACAAUAAUGGCAGUUACGAAGCUCUGGCGCUGAUAAUGGAACCUGGGUUGUAUACUUUAGAUGUGAGGUUGGACUACACAUUGUGCGAUGGAUUUCGCAACCCCCCGGUUGAGUGGUUUAGAACAUUUCACUGCUCAGGAGUUAUCAAAGAUCUCAAAGACGUUGCAGAUCCAAUUUUUGCCGACUUGCAAGACUAUAUCAAUAAAAGAAUAGAGAACGGACGGAUUCUGGCUAUAAACGUUCUUCCUUCAAAUCUAAAUGCUCUGGGUCACGCUCAACUAAUGCUACAGGCCGACAAUGAAUGUGAUGUGCCGUGUAGCAAAAAAUUAUGGGAUGGGUACGGUCGCUGGAGUUUUAAAAAUAAAUGGAAACCUUUCAUGAACGAGAUCAAUUUCCCAUCUUCUUCAGAGGAGUGGCGAAUAUUUGAGGGACGACGGAGGAACCUGGAUUACAUCAGAGGACAUAAAAAAGGAAAAGGGAUGUUUUGGGUAUUUGGUGAUUCUCUGAGCUAUUACUUUUACGAAUCGUUGUCAAAGAACCGACGAGAAUUCUGUGAGACGGAUUUCCAGAUGUGCAAUGUGUCGGCUAACUGGAUUUACCCCAAGGACAUGUACCUGCCGAUUGAAUCGAUAAAGACUUGCAACGGUACAAAAUUAGAGGUUCCCAAAAUUCUCAAUUUCCUUCGUGAAGUUACAAGGAAGCCAACGAUGAUGGACAAGAAUUCUGUAUUGCUCUAUAACGCCGGGGCUCAUUAUGUCAAGUCAGUCAGUUUCGCGCAGUAUAAAGAGGUGAUCAGUGAAUUAGCAAGAGUUUUAGGCGAGGAAUUCAAAGGAAAAGCGAUAUGGAAGUCCACUACUGCGAUGCACGAUCAGACGAUGUCUAAAUAUAUUGGUUGUUUUCGACGCUUCACCACGCAUCAGCGUAUAAAACUGUUCAAUGCGUACAGUAACGGGGCGAUGUGCAAAGCUGGUGUCCCUUUUCUCGAUAUUUACCCAAUCUCAGCGUCCUAUCCUGGUGGAACGAUAGACGGAGUUCACUACCACGAGUCAGUAUUUUAUCCUGUGGAAGAACUGUUGGUCAGCUAUUUCAGUAAAUAGUUGCUGAUGAUAGGAAUUGUUCCGUGAAUGUCAAUGGUUGAUGAUGGUAGGCGUUGAAACUGGGAAUGUCAACUGGGUAGCCGCUGUUCCGAACUAUAAUACCAUCACAUCAGUUCAAACAUGUAAUCCUCUUUUAUUUACAAUUACAAGUUCUGGCGCGGAAUGCAAACCGUCUCUCUUUGAACUUGGCUUCAAUCUAUUUCCAUGGUGCUGAUUAGAAGAUGAAAGCAUAUCUUCACUGUUGUCCUUUUGA